ACUCUCACUUAAAUAUUAAUUUCAGAUAAUGUUUUAGCAUAUGUCCCAUGUAGAUUUGGGGACAUACUUAUACUAAAACCACAGUACAGUCUAAAUAUACUGUUUAUCUAAAAUUCAACCU
rnacentral:miRNA from 14 species